rnacentral:lncRNA from 10 species
CAGGAAGAGGAGGAUUCCCCUGACACAAGGCUGCAGGGCUCACAAGCACUGACAAUUCACUCAUCAGUUUCAGGACCCAUGAAGACAGAGCCACAGAUUCCCCUGAACAGAAUGGCAAUUUUCGUGUGGUGUUAAUUUCCGUGGAAGAAGAAAAGGCUCGACUCUCUGUCCUAUUUUUCAUGAAUACUGGAAGUAGGGAAUAAACCUGGAGUCUCACGGGUGAAAAGAGACAUUUCCAUAUCACCAGACCACAAACGUGGGUGUUGAUUCUAAGGAUACCCCCAAUAAACAUCUUUCGUGCUAAAGCCCAUUCCAGAAUUUACUUCCCAGCUAUCUUUGAUGUUCAUAUUGUCAGAGGUGGUGGCCGCUGAAACAGGCAAAGACAUGGAGCAUAUCUUGGGUCCAGGACCUUGGGAGUCCAGAGGAAGGUCUUUUUACCAUCAGCAUUCUCUACUGUGUUCAAUGACUGUCAGCCAAAGAUGGCCAGGUUCUCUACUGUGAUGGUGAAUUUUAUGUGUCAAUUUGACUGGACCAUGGGAUGCCCAGCUUUCCUUCAGAAAGAAAUGCAUUCAAAGAACCUACAUUCACAACAUAAAGAAAUAAAGCCUGCACCUACAGAUCUACACACAUGCCCAUGCACAUGCAGGAAGUGUUCAUCUAAGACUGGACCUUUUAGAAGAAAGCUGGCAUACAUUCGUGAAGGCAUGGGCUUCCAGGCAUGUCAUCUUCACUCACGAAGCACACACAAGACCGCCAAGCAUUAAGAUUCUCCUGUGGAGCCAGGCUACAAUCCUUUAAAUGAAGACAGACAGCUAGGUGGCUGCAGCCCAGCGCUACACCUCACCCCUCCCUCAGUGUCAUGCAGAAAAAAUGUAUUCAGAACUCAGAAGUGAAGUUGUGCAAAUCCAUCAUUGACACUAGCUUCAAGGUUACCUCGGGGGAGCAGAAUGUACCCCUGCCAGAGAGCUGGAUAGAUGAUGAUGGGGACAGAAAUUCUGGGGGAGUUGUAAAUGGCAGCCACUGCCUCUAUAGGAAACCCAAAGGGAACACAGCAGAAGAGGAGGUGGUGGAGGAGCCACUGCCCUCUCGAAGGGUUCAAUGUCAUUCUGCAGACACAACCAAAUAACUUUUUCUUCCCUGCUGCUCCUCCAUUUGAAAUGACAGCCCCGAGCUCGCUUUUUCCUUGAUUGUGUAACUCUGAUUACAGACAAGGCCAAGGCAAUCCCAGGGCAUUACUACAAAGCUAAGGGGUCCCCAAAGAACUAAAGAGUCAGCUCCACAAAAAUCCCGAUUCCUAGCAUGAAACUGAAAUAUGAAACCAAACGGGCAUAGAAAAGGUAUGUGCAUUCGAAUCACAUAGCAGUGACUGGAGUCCUGAGCUGUGUCUGAAGACUGUGAGAUCACGUUUGGAGCUGCUGAUUGGUUUUCAGUGAUGGCCCUGUUGCACAGUGCCGUGAGACUUAGCUCCAUGGCCAAAGACGAUGGUAUCCCCUAGGAGCCCUGUGAGGUUGCUGCUGUUCUCUUAAGACACCAGGUAGCCAUCUGAUCCUCCCUGAGCAAACUAACUGGGCAGACAGGUUUAUUAAACCUCUGUUGGUCCGACUUACAUGAAACAAGAGAGUUAUUUUGUUGUUGUUGUUUUGUUUUGUUUUAAAUUAAACCUGUCUUUGGAGCCUCCUGCUCUUAGUUUACAAGUCUUCUUUGCACACUCUAAUAUUUUAAGAAGCAGCAAACAUUAACUGAGGGUCUA